rnacentral:ncRNA from 1 species
AAGUUUGAUCUUGGCUCAGGAUGAACACUGGCGGCAUACUUAACACAUGCAAGUCAGACGAGAAGUGGUGUUUCCAGUGGCGGACGAGUGAGUAACGCGUAAGAACCUACCCUUGGGAGGGGAACAACAGUUGGAAACAGCUGCUAAUACCUCGUAGGCUGAGGAGCAAAAGGAGGAAUCCGCCUGAGGAGGGGCUCGCGUUUGAUUAGCUAGUUGGUGAGGCAAUAGCUUACCAAGGUGAUGAUCAGUAGCUGAUCCAAGAGGAUGAUCAGCCACACUGGGACUGAGACACAGCCCAGACUCCUACGGGAGGCAGCAGUGGGGAAUUUUCCGCAAUGGGCGAAAGCCUGACGGAGUAAUGCCGCGUGGAAGUAGAAGGCCCACGAGUCAUGAACUUCUUUUCCUGGAGAAGAAGCAAUGAUGGUAUCUGGGGAAUAAGCAUCGGUUAACUCUGUGCCAAUAGCCGCGGUAAUAUAGAGGAUGCAAGCGUUAUCUAGAAUGAUUGGGCGUAAAGCGUCUAUAGGUGGCUUUUUAAGUCCGCCGUCAAAUCCCAAGGCUCAACCCUGGACAAGCGGUGGAAACUACCAAACUGGAGUACGGUAGGGGCAGAAGGAAUUUCUGGAAGAGUGGUGAAAUGCGUAGAGAUCAAAAAGAACACCAACGACGAAACCACUCUGCUGGGCCGACACUGACACUAAGAGACGAAAGCUGGGGGAGUAAAUGGGAUUAGAUACCCCAGUAGUCCUAGCCGUAAACGAUGGAUACUAGACGCUGUGCGUAUCAACCCAUGCAGUGCUGUAGCUAACGCGUUAAGUAUCCUACC